rnacentral:rRNA from 1 species
GCAACUCGCCUACAUGAAGUCGGAAUUGCUAGUAAUCGCGGAUCAGCAUGCCGCGGUGAAUACGUUCCCGGGCCUUGUACACACCGCCCGUCACACCAUGGGAGUCGGAAAUGCCCGAAGUCUGUGACCCAACCGUAAGGAGGGAGCAGCCGAAGGCAGGUCGGAUGACUGGGGUGAAGUCGUAACAAGGUACC